rnacentral:rRNA from 1 species
CACGUAGGGCGCGAGCGUUGUCCGGAAUUAUUGGGCGUAAAGAGCUCGUAGGCGGCCUGUUGCGUCCGCUGUGAAAGCCCGGGGCUUAACCCCGGGUCGGCAGUGGAUACGGGGCAGGCUAGAGGUAGGUAGGGGAGAAUGGAAUUCCCGGUGUGAGCGGUGGAAAUGCGCAGAUAUCGGGAGGAACACCGGUGGCGAAGGCGGUUCUCUGGGCCUUACCUGACGCUGAGGAGCGAAAGCGUGGGGAGCGAACAGG